rnacentral:rRNA from 1 species
GACGAACCGUGCGAACGUUAUUCGGAAUCACUGGGCUUAAAGCGCGUGUAGGCGGAUGACCACGUCGGCCUCUGAAAUCCCCCGGCUCAACCGGGGAAGUGGAGCCGAUACGGGUCGUCUGGAGGAACGUAGGGGGACCUGGAACUUCCGGUGGAGCGGUGAAAUGCGUUGAGAUCGGAAGGAACGCCCGUGGCGAAAGCGAGGUCCUGGACGUUUGCUGACGCUGAGACGCGAAAGCCAGGGGA